rnacentral:miRNA from 1 species
GACCUUCUGUGUUCUUGCAG